AUGAUGCUGGAGCCCAGUUUCCUUCGGGCCCCAUUUAACUUGGCCAUUGCCAGGGGUGAUGGGAGGGAUACCUCUCCAGGGUCUGGAGGGCGCCAGGACCCAUGCGCCUGCAUUACGAAGGUAACAGUGUGUCUCCUUGCCUGUUCUACAUGCCGUGGAAAGAAGCUGUCACACAGCUGCUGCAUGGAUGCGCCGGAGACUUCCAGGGACGAACACGUAGUCAGAGACAUGCUUUCUGGAGGUCAGACAGUGGAGAGGAUGGGUUCUGAGGAAGGAGCAGGAGACGCCGCAGAGCGGGCGCCAGGUCAGAAAGGGGCAGGAAGACAGGGACUCUCCUGGCUGCUCUUCAUGCUCGUUCACCCCCACAUCACAACUUUCUCCCCCACCGCUUCCAAACUGUUUUGGGUCCUGGGGUUUUCAUGCUCGUUCACCCCCACAUCGCAACUUUCUCCCCCACUGUUUCCGAACUGUUUUGGGUCCUGGGGUCAUCGUCCCCCCCCCCCCGUGGGAGGAAAUGGGCCCACAGAGGAGCUCCACGGACAGAAUUGAGUCGAUGCUUUCUUUAAAAAAUGUGCCAAAGCCAGUCAAAUGUCUGUCAUACAGAUUUUGCUGGCAGACGUUUUGCUCCUUUGGAUUUGGGACCUCCAUUUGCCGAAACGUGUCCAGCUGCCCAAGGAGAUGUAUGGCAGUAUUUUCUUCCAUACCACUGGGCCUCUCUCUCUCUGAGAAAUGGCGCUCUCCCCCUCCCCCCAGCCACGAAAGGUGACUUUUCAAAGGUAACUGGCUGACAACUUCUGCGGAAGCAACUCAUUGGCGUGCCCUGGUUGUCAAACGAGUGGCUUGUUACUUUACUUGUUGCUAAUGAGUUUAGAAACCAUCCGAAAGAUAGAAAGAAAGGGUCCAAGUGUUUUAUGGGUAGCAAGUAAAUGUUUUUGAAGUUACAAGGAAAGAUGGCUUAUUCCCCCCCCCCAGUAAUAAUUUGAUGACACUGGUAACAUCUUUGCCUCAAAAGUAAAAUGUUGCAGGUAAAUGUUCCGACUUGCCACCUUAAAACUUCUCUGUGAUGGAAGUACCAUGACCUGCUGAAACAGCUUCUUUAACUGCUCUCUUGUGUCCCAAUUUAAUAUUGUCCCAAUUGUUUAGGCCUCUGUUCUGCAAUGUGAAAGCCUUGCUUUAAAGUUGGGCUUUACGGUUGUAGGCUUUUACCUCCAGUAAACUUGUGGAGGAGUCGCCCUGUUUUAGCCAUUAAGAUGUGACCCAAAGGUGCCCAGGGCCUGCCGCCCGAGACACACUGUAGAGGUUAAGCCUCUCUGGAGAACUUAACAUUUCCCAAAACCUCUGUGUGUGGGGGGGGGGGGGCAUCAGGGCUGGAAAUGCCCCACACCUAGGAAAAUCCAAAUCCAAAUGGGAGCAGCUCUGGUAUCCCCUUCCAUCAGGCAGGCAAUGCGCAAGCAAGUGCCUGGACCCCCAAACAUCUAACGUUAUCCCAUUCCAUCAUCCAUCCCUGACAUCUGUUGUAAAGUUCUGGAACACUUUCCCAGUAAUGCUU
ensembl:lncRNA